rnacentral:rRNA from 1 species
AUUGAACGCUAGCGGGAUGCCUUACACAUGCAAGUCGAACGGAGUGGCGAACGGGUGAGUAAUGUAUCGGAACGCGCCACGUAGCGGGGGAUAACUACGAGAACGCGAAGCUAAUACUGCAUACUUUCGGUGCCGGCGAUAUCGGAUUAGCUAGUUGGUGGGGUAACGGCUCACCAAGGCGACGAUCAGUAGCUGGUUUGAGAGGACGACCAGCCACACUGGGACUGAGACACGGCCCAGACUCCUACGGGAGGCAGCAGUGGGGAAUUUUGGACAAUGGGGGAAACCCUGAUCCAGCCAUCCCGCGUGUGCGAUGAAGGCCUUCGGGUUGUAAAGCACUUUUGGCAGGAAAGCGGUACCUGCAGAAUAAGCACCGGCUAACUACGUGCCAGCCGCCGCGGUAAUAC